CUUGGUUUUAGUUUUUAUCAAUCACUCGGCUUAUUUUAACCAUGUUUAUUCUUUUGUUCUAGGACAUUGCCACAGUCCUUCACCAUGUGCCUUUCCCUCUGCAUGGUGGUGCUGUUUGAAAGGGGUACAAGAGCAAGGCUCCCUGCUACUCUUCAAUAAACUGAACCAACCAGGA